AAUUCUUAGAAUUUUGUUCAUUAGCCUGAAUAUUUGCAAUCCGAGAUAUUAUUUUGUUAAUGGUCACAAUCCGCUCAACUUUUAUGACACCGUCAGGAACCUUCUUGUGUGUUAAUUGAUUCGUAACUUGCAAAUCACUCUCUAAUAGAACAGUUUGAUGAGUAUAUAUCAGACAAGUGAUCUUUAGCGCUUGUUCUUCAUUUCUUACAAAAUAAUGCAUGGUAUAAACCAAAAUGGCAAAUUACAUAAUAUAAAGAAAUGUAAAUUAGUGUAAAAUAAACAUAAAUUAGAUAAAUAAUUUCUGAAUUUCAAGUAACUUGUCUCCAUUUUUUUCUUGUGCUUUAUUUGGGUGUAUAAAUGCACGACCAUAUGAUUUGUCAAUUCCCACGAACUCUUACAAAGAGCCGGGAAAAUUGGAGUCCCCCAACCCGAAAAAAGGUACAAUGCCUCAUUUGGUCAGCCUCCUCGCUGGUUCCGCGCAAAAUGGCUAUUCCUGCGCUUUAACUGAAAACAACAUUUAAAGUUCUGUACAUAAUGGGUGUCUUAUGAAACAACAUAUAUUAAAAUUAUAAAACUCGAAUCUUGCUCUAUGAAAAAGUUGAGGAUAAAGUUAAAGGCUUUAACUGCAAUUGCAGUGAAUAGCAAAACAACGCGGAGACGAAACGUCAAACAAGUACCUCUCUGGUUCGAUAAAAAAUGUUCAUAAGUCUGAGAAAGCAAAUGAAGCGUCAUUGCCCUUAUAAGUUAAAUUCACUUUUAAUCAGAGAAAUGAAGGAAGCUUUGGCCAAAUCGAAUCUACAGAUGAUAACGACUCGAAUAAUUAUGCUUGUCAUUGUCGCAAAUUUUCAUCUCAGCAAACACUUCAUGCCAAGAAAGCUAUAGAGGAAAAUUUAGUGUUGGUUCGGUUGAACAUUGUCAACGGUGGCACGAUAACGAUAAACUCGGUAGUAGUUUGUGAAGAAUCCAAACAAACCAAUAUUUAGGGAAUGUUUUUUUUAAUUGUCGAUUAAAAAAAUUGGUCUGUUGUCAGUCAUGUAUGUAGUAGGAGCGCGUAUCCUGUGUGAUAAUAAAAAGUAGCUGUUUGCAGUUAUAUCGUGAGAGUCGAUUUUAAGGUUCCUUGUUUGUACAUGCUGCCGUUUUACAUAUGUGCUUAGUUAAUUUCUUGGUGACCAACAUAUUUGGGCACGUCCAAUGUCCACCACCCGAUUUUCCGUUGUUAAGAUUUGUGUAAGCAAAACAGUUGCAAUAAAAGAUUGCUGUUAACGUUCUUAACUCAGUUUUGCAGUGUUAGGAUUGAAAAUGGGCUUGAAGCCCUGCUACGAUUGCUAAAAAGAAAAGAAAAUUUGAAAGGAUGUUGCAAUGCGAUGGUGAGCAAUUAUUGAAAUGAAUUUAAAUUUCGCAUAAAUUUCUCCGUCAGAGCCAUCUUAAAUUACGAUGAGCGAGGUCGCUUGUUAUAACGAUGCGUUUGCAACGUGGCCAUGAGCAAAAUUCCUCAUUAAAAUAUCCCCAACGAAACAGCGGAUUUACAACACGUUUUCUACAGCUAUCCUCAAGCCAAUGACGACGUUGUGGAGUAACUAAAUCUUUCGAUACUACGUUUACAACUUUAUUGUACGCGCACGGUGCUCUUGUCUACUACUCUACUGGCGAGAAGUGGAAAAGCGACUACUACAUGUUAUAAAUGAGUUGCAUUUUUUUUCUAGACAGUCCACACAACGGAAAUGAGUGGACAAAAUUGAAGGUCGCUGACGAGCAUUAUAAAAACUAUUCAAAAUGAACUACUAAGGCCUGAACACACUGAACUUGUGUGAGGAAUUGGCUGCAAAUCUAAACGAUAUGACUGCAUUUACCAGAAAAUGUCAGGCUUACAAAAGUAAAGUAGCAUUAAAUGGUUUUGAAGAAAAAGUUGCAGCGAUAUUUGAGACACUUGCCGUUGAUGAGCUACCAAGUGUAUAUACACUUCUCAAACGAUGCAUGAAAGAAUAGAGGAU